rnacentral:rRNA from 1 species
CCUACGGGAGGCAGCAGUGAGGAAUAUUGGUCAAUGGGCGGAAGCCUGAACCAGCCAAGUAGCGUGCGGGAUGAAGGCCCUACGGGUCGUAAACCGCUUUUGUACGGGGAUAACACCCUCUACUUGUGGAGGUCUGCAGGUACCGUGCGAAUAAGGGCCGGCUAAUUCCGUGCCAGCAGCCGCGGUAAUACGGAAGGCCCGGGCGUUAUCCGGGUUUCUUGGGCUUAAAGGGGGCGUAGGCGGGCGUUCAAGUCAGCUGUAAAAUCGCGCGGCUCAACCGCGCCCCGCAGUUGAAACUGGCGGCCUUGAGUUCGCAAAAGGCAGGCGGAAUGCGUGGUGUAGCGGUGAAAUGCAUAGAGAUGACGAAGAACCCCGAUUGCGAAGGCAGCCUGCCGGGGUGUAACUGACGCUGAGGCUCGAAGGUGCGGGUAUCGAACAGGAUUAGAUACCCGUGUAGUC